UACGUAGGGUCCGAGCGUUGUCCGGAUUUAUUGGGCGUAAAGAGCGUGUAGGCGGCCAGACAGGUCCGUUGUGAAAACUCGAGGCUCAACCUCGAGAUGUCGAUGGAAACUUUCUGGCUAGAGUCCGGAAGAGGAGAAUGGAAUUCCUGGUGUAGCGGUGAAAUGCGCAGAUAUCAGGAAGAACACCGAUGGCGAAGGCAAUCCCCUGGGCCUGCACUGACGCUCAUGCACGAAAGCGUGGGGAGCAAACAGG
rnacentral:rRNA from 1 species